CAUUCGUGUCGGGGGGCUGUUGGGGAUCGACGACCGCCCAACGGCGGACGCCGUCCCCUAAAGCCAGUGGCAGCCUCGCCGCGGCCUCCUCGCGCAGUACACACUUCUCGCGGGCGGAGCCACAGUGACGGAUCGCCGUAAAACCCCCCAACUCUUUAAUGGUUGACCUCAGAUCAGGUAGGAAUACCCGCUGAACUUAA
rnacentral:misc_RNA from 1 species